UUUCAAGAUUUCAAAACUUUGGAAAGUACAUCAGGUCAAAAGGCACAGUAACGAUAUUUUUGCCAGUGAAGAUUUUAACCACAACGAAUCAAGUUAGGGAUUGCUGUCGUCUGAAUGUUGCAGCUUGAGAGGUCGUCAACGAACCGUCCAACUUGUGUCAACGAAAAAAGCUUCAGAUGUUUAUAUUUUAGGUAACAUAUAUUUUAUUAAAGAAGCAAGUUGAAAUGUU